UUAGUACUCCCUCCGUUCGGAAUUACUUGUCUCGGAAAUGGAUGUAUCUAGAACUAAAAUACGUCUAGAUACAUCUAUUUCCUCGACAAGUAAUUCCGAACGGAGGGAGUACAUG
rfam:Triticum aestivum genome assembly, contig: Triticum_aestivum_CS42_TGACv1_scaffold_513885_6BS